rnacentral:rRNA from 1 species
UACGGGGGGGGCAAGCGUUGUUCGGAAUUACUGGGCGUAAAGGGCUCGUAGGCGGCCAAUUAAGUCCGACGUGAAAUCCCCAGGCUUAACCUGGGAACUGCGUCGGAUACUGGAUGGCUUGAAUCCGGGAGAGGGAUGCGGAAUUCCAGGUGUAGCGGUGAAAUGCGUAGAUAUCUGGAGGAACACCGGUGGCGAAGGCGGCAUCCUGGACCGGCAUUGACGCUGAGGAGCGAAAGCCAGGGGAGCAAACGGG